CGGCGGACGGGUGAGUAACACGUGGAUAACCUACCUAUAAGACUGGGAUAACUUCGGGAAACCGGAGCUAAUACCGGAUAAUAUUUUGAACCGCAUGGUUAAAAAGUGAAAGACGGUCUUGCUGUCACUUAUAGAUGGAUCCGCGCUGCAUUAGCUAGUUGGUAAGGUAACGGCUUACCAAGGCAACGAUGCAUAGCCGACCUGAGAGGGUGAUCGGCCACACUGGAACUGAGACACGGUCCAG
rnacentral:rRNA from 1 species